UUGUCCUUCACAGCUUCCAUCUGCACCAAAGCUGGACUUUUCAGUUUGUGAGUCCUGGAACUGGGGUGUACAGAAGACAGUGUCUACUCUCUCUGCAGCCCCUACUAAAGUUUGUGAUUAUACAGCAGAAGGCUGGAAGCAUGUAAAGGAUUUGGUGAAGUGAAUACAUUGUAUAUAAAUAAACUUUUUAUUUAUCACUU